GGCGGCUACCAUGCAAGUCGAGCGGAUGAGAGGAGCUUGCUCCUCGAUUCAGCGGCGGACGGGUGAGUAAUGCCUAGGAAUCUGCCUGGUAGUGGGGGACAACGUUUCGAAAGGAACGCUAAUACCGCAUACGUCCUACGGGAGAAAGUGGGGGAUCUUCGGACCUCACGCUAUUAGAUGAGCCUAGGUCGGAUUAGCUAGUUGGUAGGGUAAAGGCCUACCAAGGCGACGAUCCGUAACUGGUCUGAGAGGAUGAUCAGUCACACUGGAACUGAGACACGGUCCAGACUCCUACGGGAGGCAGCAGUGGGGAAUAUUGGACAAUGGGCGAAAGCCUGAUCCAGCCAUGCCGCGUGUGUGAAGAAGGCCUUCGGGUCGUAAAGCACUUUAAGUUGGGAGGAAGGGCUCAUAGCGAAUACCUGUGAGUUUUGACGUUACCAACAGAAUAAGCACCGGCUAACUUCGUGCCAGCAGCCGCGGUAAUACGAAGGGUGCAAGCGUUAAUCGGAAUUACUGGGCGUAAAGCGCGCGUAGGUGGCUUGAUAAGUUGGAUGUGAAAUCCCCGGGCUCAACCUGGGAACUGCAUCCAAAACUGUCUGGCUAGAGUGCGGUAGAGGGUAGUGGAAUUUCCAGUGUAGCGGUGAAAUGCGUAGAUAUUGGAAGGAACACCAGUGGCGAAGGCGACUACCUGGACUGACACUGACACUGAGGUGCGAAAGCGUGGGGGAGCAAACAGGAUUAGAUACCCUGGUAGUCCACGCCGUAAACGAUGUCAACUAGCCGUUGGGAUCCUUGAGAUCUUAGUGGCGCAGCUAACGCAUUAAGUUGACCGCCUGGGGGAGUACGGCCGCAAGGUUAAAACUCAAUGAAUUGACGGGGGCCCGCACAAGCGGUGGAGCAUGUGGUUUAAUUCGAAGCAACGCGAAGAACCUUACCUGGCCUUGACAUGCUGAGAACUUUCAGAG
rnacentral:rRNA from 1 species